rnacentral:rRNA from 1 species
UACGGGGGGGGCAAGCGUUGUUCGGAAUUACUGGGCGUAAAGGGUGCGUAGGUGGCUUAGUACGUCAGAAGUGAAAUCCCCAGGCUCAACCUGGGAAUUGCUUUUGAGACUACUAAGCUUGAGUACAGGAGAGGUGAGUGGAAUUCCCAGUGUAGAGGUAAAAUUCGUAGAUAUUGGGAGGAACACCAGUGGCGAAGGCGGCUCACUGGCCUGUAACUGACACUGAGGCACGAAAGCGUGGGGAGCAAACAGG